GGGCCGGUAGCUCAGCUUGGUGGAGCACCUGACUUUUAAUCAGGUGGUCGCGUGUUCAAAACUAAUACUGUGUUUCAGUGUUUGUGUAUAUCACGUCCGGCCCG
rnacentral:tRNA from 1 species